rnacentral:rRNA from 1 species
UUGGAGGGCAAGUCUGGUGCCAGCAGCCGCGGUAAUUCCAGCUCCAAUAGCGUAUAUUAAAGUUGUUGCAGUUAAAAAGCUCGUAGUUGAAUUUCGGGAUCAAUUUAUUGGUCGUGCUAUUGUACGUACUGGUAUUAUUGAUUCCUACCUUCUGACGAACCAUGAUGUCAUUAAUUUGGUGUCUUGGGGAAUCAGGACUGUUACUUUGAAAAAAUUAGAGUGUUUAAAGCAGGCUCACGCUUGAAUACAUUAGCAUGGAAUAACGAAAUAGGACGUUUGAUUCUAUUUUGUUGGUUUCUAGGAUCGACGUAAUGAUUAAUAGGGAUAGUUGGGGGCAUUAGUAUUCAAUUGUCAGAGGUGAAAUUCUUGGAUUUAUUGAAGACUAACUACUGCGAAAGCAUUUGCCAAGGAUGUUUUCAUUAAUCAAGAACGAAAGUUAGGGGAUCGAAGACGAUCAGAUACCGUCGUAGUCUUAGCCAUAAACUAUGCCGACUAGGGAUCGAAUGAUGUUAAUUUUUUAAUGACUCAUUCGGCGCCUUACGGGAAACCAAAGUGUUUGGGUUC